rnacentral:lncRNA from 1 species
UUUUUUUUAACUUUUUUUUUUUUUUUUUGCAGUACGCGGGCCUCUCACUGUUGUGGCCUCUCCCGUUGCAGAGCACAGGCUCAGGACGCGCAGGCUCAGCGGCCAUGGCUCAUGGGCCCAGCCGCUCCGCGGCAUGUGGGAUCUUCCCGGACCGGGGCACGAACCCGUGCCCCCUGCAUCGGCAGGCGGACUCUCAACCACUGCGCCACCAGGGAAGCCCUGGACUGAUUUUUUUGAAGUCAAGCCAGUUUGUUUCACUAAAAGCAAACAAGUCCAGAAAUCCACACACUGCCCUGCAUGGUGUGUCCCAAAUUCCAGCCUGGCCCUUGGACUUUGGCACCACAAGGAUUAUCACCUGGUUCUCCUGAAAGAGAAGGUGAUACAGCCCAGAGCCUUUGCUGAGAAAGAUGUGUUCCUCAGAGGGAAAAACACAGGACAGCUGUUGUGGAGAAGCUUUUGGGCAGUUAAUGGAACAGCGUAUCAAUGAAUACAGGCAUACCUUGGAAAAAUUGCAGGUUCAGUUUCAGAUCACCACAAUAAAGCGAAUAUCACAAUAAGGUGAGUCAUAU